AGAUACAAAGUGAUGCACCUUUAAUAUAUGUUAUGGUUUUGCAAGCAUAUAUCUCAUUGGGAGAAGGCAUCACAGUGAUAUCUCCUGAGGCAAUCCAGGAACAAAUCUAUUGAGGCUCCUACUUAUCUUGGUUGGUAUUUGACCCAGUGGACCUCAGAUGCAUGGAGAGUCAACAUUUGUCAUGUUUUUGGGCUCUACCUGGACCUGCCAACCCAGUUCCUGUGCGCCCCUCAGAAGAAUUCAGCCUGCAGGAGGACAGCUUUGACCCCUGUGAUUUCAUCUCUGCCCCAACCAAUCAGCAGCAAGCACCCAUUCCCUGGCAGUCCCACCCCUUCCCCCAAACUGCCUUUGAAAAACCCCUACCUAGGAGCCUUAGACAAUAUUGAUUUGAGUACUAACUCCAUCUUCCAUGUGGCAUGGCUGGCCUUAUGUCUAUUAAACUCUUUCUUUACUGCAAUACCCUGGUCUUUAUUUGUGCAGCAGGCAGGAAGAACCCCAUGGGUGGUUACAGCCUGACACUGCCUCUCCCUUUUAUGGUUGCAACAAAACAACCAACCAGCAUUUCUUCCUAAUAAGAAACCACUGACCAAGGAGUGGUUCUGGGUAGUCCAUGGAGGAUGUACAGUAAGGGUUUCUGUGACCUCUGUUUCACCUUUUGACAUUAGAGCACUGAAAAUCCCACCCUUGGAUCAUGCUAAUGCCACCAUUUUUGGUACGUGGGACACGAGGGGGCAUAAAGCUCAAUUGCACAUGCAUACUCUUUGUUUUUUAUAAAUAUUCAUGACUCCUCAUAUAGCUUAUUAAAUAUGUAUAUUUGGCCACCCUGCUCAACACAAAUUAGUUACUGUUCCCUUUCCAUUCCCUAGAAGUGUCUAUUUCUGGCUUCUGGCUGGCAGCUAUGAUUCCCAGCCUGUCAGGAUGGCCACCCUGCAGGCUGCAACCCUUUAUGAGAUGUAAAGCUCUCCUUUCUAAAUUUAUGAACCUUGUCAUUCUUCAGUUGACAACAUCUAAAAAGACUGGCUUGCCAUUCAUCUACUGGUACAGUCUUCUGAAAACAGUUGGUUUCUAAGAACAGUAAGAAACCAGGAACAAGCCUCCAUGGACUUUUUAAGGCCUAAAAUAAUUGCUUCCUCCUCCCCUGCUUCCGUUGCACUUUGGUCACACUGGAAUAACACUAUCUGUUUUGACAUAAUGUGUAUUAUAUAAAGGUCUUGUUCGUUUCUGCAGUGCACUAGGAGAGGACUUAUGUUUUAGAUAGCUGUAUAUUCUCCCUACCUAACACCGUUACUGAUAGACAGUAAAAGCUUAGUUGGUAUCUGUUUAAUGAAGGCCUGAGUGAAGAAACAAUGUGAGUUAAAGGUAAAACAUGUCAAAUUAAAUUUAGGCUAACGCUGCCUCCUUACAUUCAAGUUCAUCCUAAAGGUUUCUUCACACACAGUGAACUAUACCCUCUUUGGAUGUGUAAAAAGACUGUAACCUACUCUUGUGCAAUCACUGAGUUUCAAAUGUGGCCAAUUGUUCAAAUCAUGUUCAAAUAUGACAAAUGUAAAGGAAAGUUUUUAAAAAAAUCUCAGGAUCUCAUACUCCCUAUGCAAAAGGGAAGCGUAAGCUUGGAGGCCGUCUUGCAACAUUCUCUUCCAAAUGAAUAGCUAUUGCUAGCAUUGUGCCAGAUUCCCAAGGAAAGAUAAACGGCCUCGGGCAUCAUGAAUAACUUGCUCCCAUAGAAGAUUCAUAGGUAAAUUCUUUCAUGGCCUCCCACAAACAAGGACAUACCAAUUAUACCAAUUGUAACUUUAGGUCUACAGCCUAAGUCUAACUCCCAAAACUAAAGUCUGAUUCCACACUGAUGCUAUCAAUCACAAGCUUAUUUUCCCAGGUUCAGAACAAAAACAAGAGGAGAUCAGUCAUUCUUCCACCUACCGAGAGAUGCCUGCAUAAUUGAUUUUUCCUCUAUUACCUUUUUCUCUUCGAACAUUCACCUUACCUUAUGUAAAAUGUAGAUUACGGGGUACUAACUAAAGUCUCACAGGAAUAUAACUAUUUGCCUUAAUGCCUGUCUCUCUUCCUAAGUGCCUUCCCCCAUUUAAGGGAAAGUAUAAACAUAAAACCUCCUGAACACCUCUUCAGAAAACCUCCUUGCUUUUUCCCAGAUGUGUCCUAAAGCUGGCUUAUUAAACUUCGAUUGAUUGGGACUUUUGCCUUAGUUACUCAUUUUGUUUGUCACAAAAGUCAAGGUGUAACCAAUCUAGCUGUUUCUGAACCUCACUUCUGUACAUCAUUUUCUGUAUGACACUUAUCUUCUCCUGCCCAAAAAUCUUUUCCAACCACGUGGCAGUGCUGGAGUCUCUCUGAACCUGUUCUGGUUUGCGAGGCUGCCCGAUUCUUGAAUGGUUCUUUGAUCAAUUAAACUGUUAAAUUUAAUUUUUCUGAGGUUUUUCUUUAAAGAAAUAUAAAGCCCAGGAAGCACAGUUUAUUCACCUCAUUGAAUUUUAUUCCUAUCCAAACAUUCCUAUUGGCAAACUCUCAGAAACACAAAAGAUGCUUCACCAACUCUCUUUUAUAAAUAAUAGAGCCUCAAUAAUUCUUCUAAGAUGAUUAUCCUUGAUCAUUUAAUAUAGAAACCUACUGGACAAAGUUCCAGUUUAGUGGUUCCUUUUAUUAAAAUCCCUAUUAAUAAGUUUAAGAAGGGGCCUGGGUUCAAUAUUUCCUAUUUUUAUAAAAAUGGAAUCUCUUCAUAAUAUGAUAUCUGACAAAAAAUCUCACUGUUAUAAACACAGACAGUGUAGCAUAUAGCCCAAUUAUUUGAUGUAACUUCAAAUCUGAUCCUUUGAAAUUAGAACAGAAAAUCAAUUGUAUAUCCUUGUGAAACAGCUGAUUCUUUAUUACAGUGUAACUUGCAUUCCAAUCAACUGCCAUCUUUGUUUUAUUCCUGCUGUAUCAGUUGUCUGCUAAUCAGUAUGUUUAACACUGAAAUGGAAUAUCAAUUUCUCCUUGGAAAAUAUGCACCAUAAAAUCCUCUUUGAAAUGGUUUUAUAUUGUAUUUCAACAAAAUAAUUCCAUAUUAGUUAUUUUUCUCAUGCUUUUGAUGCUGUUUUUGAAAUGCACAGUUUUACAAAGGUGCCCAUGGGUAAGCCAAAUGUCUUACAUAAGCAGCCAGUUCUGUUUCAAAUGACUCUCUUCCCAGAGUCUCGUGGAUGAGCCCCUACUGGCUGUUGAAAUAUAGAAGCUUUGUGUGAUUUGAAACUCUCAGCUGGCUUUCCAGGCCCAAAGAGACACAGAGUCAGUGUGUAAAGAGAGAUUCAUUGGUGCACAGCUUUCUUCUUCUACUUAGUUUCUUACCCAGUAUCUUUUGCUUUUUAAUGUUAAUACCCCUGCUGCUGUAUUCCCACUGUGUGAGAGAUUAUUCCUACCAUUUAAAUAAAAGGUACUGGGCAAAAAGCAAUGGAUGAGAAUAACCUGACACCAUUAAAGUACCUUUACUUCAUUCAUUUUCCCUUUUACCUGGAGGGAAUCAUUAUCACCACUGCAGUUUUUAACAUGCUGUGUAUUUAUAAGGCAAACUGAAGGCCUUUUGUGCUGGAUUAGGAUGAUGGGUUAGUAAAGCUUGCAAGAGGUGGAGCUGUUCUAGUGUGAGAGGAAACAUUACAGACUUUAAAUAGCACA
rnacentral:lncRNA from 1 species